rnacentral:pre_miRNA from 1 species
ACAAAAUUCGGACAGUCGGUCUACCGAGAGUACUAAUAUCACUUGCUCGGUGGAAGAUCUUCCUUUUGUCGU